UUAUUUUCAAAAUGGAUGAAUGGUAACAGAAGAAAAACAAAUAACAACUUGGGCACAGAAGAGAAAUAGAGUAGUAAUUAGGAAUAAAGGAAAUGAUAUUAAGUCCUAAAAAGCAAUUUGGUUUUGCUUAAGUUAAAAAUUAGGCCUUUAGUUACCUUCCCAUAUUAAAUAUACAUGGAAGAAUUAACUCAAGAAUAAUUCUCAUAUAAAAACUGUGAAAAACAAUAAAUAUGAAUCUUAGAACCAUUCGAAUAUAUAUAUAUAUAUACGAUAAAUUUCUAUUUUUAUGCAGGUGAAGUUAGCUGAGGAUAUGGUCACUAGGAGCAGUUUCACCUUAAACAACCAAUUUCUUCAGACUCAAAUGAGCACACUACCACAACUCAGCACGACUAAUCUGCGCGGCAUAGCACACGUCUCGCCGACCAUCACUGUCCAUGGAAAUGAUGCUUCAUAUGGUGGUGUCACAAUUGGUGGACAGAACUCAACUCAUGGGCUUGGAAACUUGGAUAUACCUUACAACAAUGUCAACAAUGGAGUUUUUAGUGAUGCUGCUAGUUCUGUGACUAUGUGGCAGUAAGGGUUUGCACUUCACUAGAGACUUUGUAGAAUCCAAUUAGGUCCAACUUUAUAUUGUAUGUUGUGUCUAAUUAGUUUAGUAGGUUAUAAUGUUAUAUUAUUGUUUCUCCUCUUUAACUAUGUUGAAAUAGUUUCUUUUCGUUGUUGUGUUUUGUUUUGUAUAAAAGGACUUGGUUUGCUUAUGACAAAAUUACUAUCUUGAUUUGGUUUUAAUUUAGUGAUGUUUGAUAAUCAAUUUUAGACUUGCAUCAUUGACAUGCAUAUUAGUUUGAAUUUACUUUUUUUGAAAGGAAUCAAUAACUUUCAAGAUAAAUUGAUUAAAAGUGGAAGACACAUUAUUUAUCCGAUAGUUUAUUUUCUUUUGAAGAUAGCAUUGCAACUAUAAAAAUAACUUUUUCAACUAUGAAUAUUGUGAAAAGUAGGUUGAGCAAUCGAAUAAGAGAUGUAUGAAUGAAUGAUUAUCUAAUACUUAUAUCUAGCAAGAAAUGUUCAACAACAUUGAUAGUAAAUUGAUCAUUUAAUGAUUUCAAAAUGUAAAAUCACAUAUAAAUUAAAUAUGAAAUAUAUAAUUUAUUUGAUUAAAUAUAUUUAAUUUUUUUAUUGUUGACAUUAAUUUUUUCAUCUUUUUAUAAUUAAUGAUAUAUAUUAUUUCAAUUUUUAACAUAUGUUGUAUAUUCUGUCCAUGGGUCCUAAAUUCGUCACUAUUCGUACCUUGCCCAUAAAAACGAAAGUAUUGUUUUCAAUAUUUGAAUUCAUGACCUUAGGCUUCGAUGCAAGCAAUGCAUGUUAUCCAUGAAAAUCAAACUUUCUCCCACAUAAAUGGACCAUUAGAUAUAUGUUUGUCAUGAGAAACAUGAUGCAAAGUGAAAACCUGAGAACUUAGAAUGAGGGGUUACCACAUUUAAUUAAUGUCACACCUAAGAAACAUGAUGCAAAGUGGAAGCUUGGCUGCACCAACUAUCCAAAGUCUUAGAAAGCUUUGGAACCCGAUUGGGGGGAAUUUGCGAAUGACUUAUAUGUCAUCAACCAUAUAGUUUCAAGAGGAAUAAAAUAAAGGAAGUCUAAUUGCAUUGUUUUCAAUUUGUUAAAUCAAAUACAUGGAAUCUACCAUCCAUCUUUGAAAAGUAAAUAAAUAAUUAUAAAUGGAUAUAUGUUAUUAAUGGGUCUUAAUAUUUAUCAAUAAAAUGUUGGUCUAGUGGUAUAAAACUUUACUAGAUUUCCAAGGUCGAGAGUUCGAUUCCUGAUAACGACACUUGUUAAGAAUAACAAUCAUGAUCAUCGAAAAGAAUUAGUUCCUUACCAAAAAAAGAAAGGUGUUGAAAUAGCAUUAGUAGUAGAGUCCUAAUAUUUUUGUCACAAUGUAAAUGGACCUAAUUUCAAGGGGUAUUUUUUAUUAUUAUAAAAUAGCUAGUGCAAUUUCGUGUUGUUCCACUUGUGGCCAACCACACUUUUGAGUAAAGAAAGCAUCUUUUAAAAAGUAAAUAGGUGUGAAUGAAAGCCUGAAAAAAGAUCUUAUGGUACUAUUAUAUACACAAAUUGAUGUACAAAAGUCAAGCUUAUACAUCCUUUGGUAAUUGCAGGAUGCAGUGACAGCAUUUUCAACCUGUGGAGAUACCAUUAUCUGUUCCCAAAAUGUCACUCCCAUGAAUUCAACCAUCUCUGCUACUAUUGAUUCUCAAGCAUCAAAUUGUGGCACUGGUAAUGAUUUUAGCACAACAUGUUUAUAUAUUAUAUAAUUAUUCCUUGCAUGCCAUUAUGCUAAGUCCCCUUCAUCUUUAGUUGAUGAAGUUUUAACAUUUUGGAUUGAAUUUCAAACUGGCCAGUUGGAAGCCCAGUUUCAGCUAAUAAACCAAACAGCAGUGAGAAUCAAACCAAAGGAGCAACAAGUGGUUCAUCUGAGCAGUGUGAUGAAGAUGAUGAAUAUGGUCCUUGUGAACAAAGCACUAAUCCUCUUGAUGUGAAGCGCCAUAGAAGGUAUAUAUCUCAAAUCAAAAAACUAAGAAAGAUAGGACAUAAAAUAAACUCAGAUGGUUUCAUCCAUUAACAUGAAACUUCACAUGAUAAUGGUUUCAGGAAGGUUUCUAAUCGAGAGUCUGCAAGGAGAUCAAGAAGAAGAAAACAAGCUGAGUUGGGUGACCUUGAGUUGCAGGUAACUAAUGUUUUCGGAGUACAUUUGUUAAGUCUUUGUUGUAAGAAACUGAAGCUUAAUUGUUCAGUGGACUGUUGAGGCUCAAAAGAAAAGGGGAAUAAUACAUAACAAUGUUAAUAUUAAAAUUCUUAGAGCUAAGCUAUCAUUGUGAACUGAAAAGCAAAAGUUAAUGGAUUUGUAUAUACAGCAUGCAAAAUAUACAUAUAGAUUCUGAGUGAAGUGUUAUAGUGUUCAGAUAACUGGAUUCUAAAAUAGAAAAUAUGGUAGAGAGCAGAAUUUUUAGAAUAGGGUGUUUUACUCAUGCAUGAAUGAGUCAUGAGUGGUCUAUAUCACUUUAUUUCAUCAACAAGCACCAUUAUAUUAUGUGAAAAUUCUGACUUAUUUUUCUCUCAAUCUAGUUUUUUUAAAUUUAAGUAUCAAUCUUUAGUAUGAAUUUAUGAUACAGAAAAGGCAAUAAUUUUCUUUUCCUUUGAAUUUUACUUUUUCAGGUUGACAAAAUGAAACUGGAAAAUGCAACCCUAUACAAGCAGUUUACGCAUGCAAGUCAACAAUUCCGUGAUGCUGAUACAAAUAACCGAGUGCUAAAAUCAGAUGUAGAAGCUUUGAGAGCUAAGGUAUCAGAAUCUUUUACAAAUAUUGUUCUAGUUAACAUGUUACCAUAAUGUUGGAGAAAGUGAAAAGCUGUUUUACUUAUUUUCAAAAUGGAUGAAUGGUAACAGAAGAAAAACAAAUAACAACUUGGGCACAGAAGAGAAAUAGAGUAGUAAUUAGGAAUAAAGGAAAUGAUAUUAAGUCCUAAAAAGCAAUUUGGUUUUGCUUAAGUUAAAAAUUAGGCCUUUAGUUACCUUCCCAUAUUAAAUAUACAUGGAAGAAUUAACUCAAGAAUAAUUCUCAUAUAAAAACUGUGAAAAACAAUAAAUAUGAAUCUUAGAACCAUUCGAAUAUAUAUAUAUAUAUACGAUAAAUUUCUAUUUUUAUGCAGGUGAAGUUAGCUGAGGAUAUGGUCACUAGGAGCAGUUUCACCUUAAACAACCAAUUUCUUCAGACUCAAAUGAGCACACUACCACAACUCAGCACGACUAAUCUGCGCGGCAUAGCACACGUCUCGCCGA
rnacentral:lncRNA from 1 species